rnacentral:rRNA from 1 species
GGCGCAAGCUCGCUUGAAGGAGUCACUUUUGGUGAUCAAGCGAGCCCACGGGCUCGCUUGAUGGAGGGGAGCGGCAGACCGCCAGACUAACACGUGGGAACUGUACCCUUCAGUACGGAACAACCAAGGGAAACUUUGGCUAAUACUGUAUACGUCCGUAAGGAGAAAGAUUUAUCGCUGAAGGAUCGGCGCGCGUCGGAUUAACUCCUUGGGGAGGUAGCGGCUCACCAAGGAGACGAUCAGUAGCUGGCCUGAGAGGAUGAUCAGCCUCACUGGGACUGAGACACGCCCCAGACUCCUACUGGAGGCAGCAGUGGGGAAUAUUGGACAAUGGGCGCAAGCCUGAUCCAGCCAUGCCGUGUGGGUGAUGAAGGCCCUAGGGUUGUAAAGCCCUUUCGUCUGGGAAGAUAAUGACGGUACCCGCAGAAGAAGCCCCGGUUAAUUUCGUGCCAGCAGCCGCGGUAAUAGGAAGGUGGCAAGCGUUGUUGGGAAUCACUGGGUGUAGAGCGCAGGUAGGCGGACUGUUAAGUCGGGGGUGAAAUCCUGGAGCUCAACUCCAGAACUGCCUUCGAUACUUAGAGUCUUAGAAUUCGGGAGAGGUGAGUGGAACUGCGAGUGUAGAGGUGAAAUUUGUAGAUAUUCGCAAGAACACCAGUGGAGAAGGCGGCUCACUGGCCCGAUACUGACGGUGAGGUGAGAAAGCGUGGGGAGCAAACAGGAUUAGAUACCCUGGUUGUCCACGCUGUAAACGAUGGAUGCUAGCCGUUGGUGGGUUUACCUUUCAGUGGCGCAGCUAAAGCAUUAAGCAUUCCGCCUGGGGAGUA